UACGUAGGGGGCAAGCGUUGUCCGGAAUUAUUGGGCGUAAAGAGCGUGUAGGCGGUCCGGUAAGUCAGCUGUGAAAGUCCAGGGCUCAACCCUGGGAUGCCGACCGAUACUGUCGGACUAGAGUUCGGAAGAGGCGAGUGGAAUUCCCGGUGUAGCGGUGAAAUGCGCAGAUAUCGGGAGGAACACCAAUGGCGAAGGCAGCUCGCUGGGACGUUACUGACGCUGAGACGCGAAAGCGUGGGGAGCAAACAGGG
rnacentral:rRNA from 1 species